rnacentral:lncRNA from 1 species
GAAAUGCUGAAUACAACAGGUGUAGUACACCUCACAGUGUAAUGCUGAAUACAACAGGUGUAGUAGACCUCACAGUGAAAUGCUGAAUACAACAGGUGUAGUAGACCUCACAGUGAAAUGCUGAAUACAACAGGUGUAGUAGACCUUACAGUGAAAUGCUGAAUACAACAGGUGUUAGACCUCACAGUGAAAUGCUGAGUACAACAGGUGUAGUAGACCUCACAGUGAAAUGCUGAAUACAACAGGUGUAGUAGACCUCACAGUGAAAUGCUGAAUACAACAGGUGUAGUAGACCUCACAGUGAAAUGCUGAGUACAACAGGUGUAGUAGACCUCACAGUGAAAUGCUGAAUACAAC